AGAACGAACGCUGGCGGCAGGCUUAACACAUGCAAGUCGAACGCCCCGCAAGGGGAGUGGCAGACGGGUGAGUAACACGUGGGAACAUGCCCAAAGGUACGGAAUAUUCUCGGGAAACUGGGAGCAAUACCGUAUGUGCCCGAAAGGGGAAAGAUUUAUCGCCUUUGGAUUGGCCCGCGUCGGAUUAGCUAGUUGGUGGGGCAAAAGCUUACCAAGGCGACGAUCCGUAGCUGGUCUGAGAGGACGACCAGCCACACUGGGACUGAGACACGGCCCAGACUCCUACGGGAGGCAGCAGUGGGGAAUCUUGGACAAUGGGCGCAAGCCUGAUCCAGCCAUGCGCGUGGAUGAUGAAGGCCUUAGGGUUGUAAAAUCCUUUCGUUGGGGACGUAUAAAUGACGGUACCCAAAGGAAGAAGCUACCGGCUAAACGUUCGUAGCCAGCAGCCGC
rnacentral:rRNA from 1 species